rnacentral:rRNA from 1 species
GACGAACGCUGGCGGCGUGCCUAAUACAUGCAAGUUGAGCGCUGAAGGUUGGUACUUGUACCAACUGGAUGAGCAGCGAACGGGUGAGUAACGCGUGGGGAAUCUGCCUUUGAGCGGGGGACAACAUUUGGAAACGAAUGCUAAUACCGCAUAAAAACUUUAAACACAAGUUUUAAGUUUGAAAGAUGCAAUUGCAUCACUCAAAGAUGAUCCCGCGUUGUAUUAGCUAGUUGGUGAGGUAAAGGCUCACCAAGGCGAUGAUACAUAGCCGACCUGAGAGGGUGAUCGGCCACAUUGGGACUGAGACACGGCCCAAACUCCUACGGGAGGCAGCAGUAGGGAAUCUUCGGCAAUGGACGAAAGUCUGACCGAGCAACGCCGCGUGAGUGAAGAAGGGUUUAGGAUCGUAAAACUCUGUUGGUAGAGAAGAACGUUGGUGAGAGUGGAAAGCUCAUCAAGUGACGGUAAAUACCCAGAAAGGGACGGCUAACUACGUG